rnacentral:rRNA from 1 species
CACGGGGGGAGCAAGCGUUGUUCGGAAUCACUGGGCGUAAAGGGUGCGUAGGCGGCCAACUAAGUCAGACGUGAAAUCCCUCAGCUUAACUGGGGAACUGCGUCUGAUACUGGAUGGCUUGAGUUUGGGAGAGGGACGCGGAAUUCCAGGUGUAGCGGUGAAAUGCGCAGAUAUCGGGAGGAACACCGGUGGCGAAGGCGGUUCUCUGGGCCUGACCUGACGCUGAGGAGCGAAAGCGUGGGGAGCGAACAGG